rnacentral:rRNA from 1 species
CGCGAUUAGUUGGAACGGAGACUUCGGUUGAANGGAAGACUAUGAAAGCGGCGGACGGGUGAGUAACGCGUGAGCAACCUGCCCUGUACAGGGGGAUAGCCACUGGAAACGGUGAUUAAUACCCCAUAANCCCAAUAGGUCACAUGGCCUGNUGGGCAAAGCCUUGNCGGUACAGGAUGGGCUCGCGUCUGAUUAGCUAGUUGGUGAGGUAAAGGCUCACCAAGGCGACGAUCAGUAGCCGACCUGAGAGGGUGAACGGCCACACUGGAACUGANACACGGUCCAGACUCNUANGGGAGGCAGCAGUGGGGAAUAUUGCACAAUGGGCGCAAGCCUGAUGCAGCAACGCCGCGUGAGUGAUGAAGGCCUUCNGGUCGUAAAACUCUGUCCUAAGGGAAGAAGAAGUGACGGUACCUUAGGAGGAAGCCCCGGCUAACUACGUGCC